UUGGGACCGCGUCACGGCUUACUGGAAACCAAUGGAAGAAACAUCUUGCCAGAAUGAAUCGCUACCCUUGGUUGCACCGAAUGAUACUCAGAUACAUACCGGCUACAUUGGAUUAUUUGCCACCCUGUCGGCAACAGCCAUCUUGCUGCUUUCCCUACUCUGCUCUGUAUUCGUUAACCGGGAUUGGGCGAUACCAGACUUCUGCGCGCACAUAUCCGCAGUCCACACAGUUACGGCCUGGUUUAACAAAAGCAGUGAUAGUCAUCACAACAAUGUCGAAUCUCCUCAAGACGGAACUUAAAGCUCCUCAUCCAAAUCAGCGACUUCAUUAAAGUGCUUCCUCAUAGUAAUAUUCUCCUCGACCAUUGGAUAUGCUGCAGCGCUUAGCGCAAUAUUUUUGUGGUUGGUGGUGUCGGUCGCUCCGGUUUUCGCUCUCUGUUGUUGUGCGCUUAGUAAUUUUUGAGCACGGAGAAGCCGCGACACUUCCCUGUUAUGCCGUCUUCACCGUGAUUUCGGCUGUUUACUGUACGGGUAGGAUUUGGCGAUGGUGGAUGCCGGGUUCUUACCGUUACUGGAUCCUCCGUAGAUUGCAAAAGUUGGGUUUGAUGUUGUACAGCGAAGUUCCCGAGCGAUAUAUCAAGGUUACAUCCUUCGCUGAGUACGUCCUUACAAGAAAGGCAACAAAAGAAUCGGAACGACAGAACCACUGCGGGGCAUUAAUUAAGAAAGGCUUGAUGCUGUAUUUUGGAUGCGCUUCCGUAUGGAUUAACAUAGGGCCUCUGGUCAGAACAGCAUUUCCAGCAAACGCAUUUGCCCAAUCCCUGACCUUUAUUUUUCACCGCCAAACGGCCAACAUUACUAACUCAACGGUCAUGGACAACGAGAGGGCGAAAUUAUCGUAUUGGAUAGAAAUCGGCUCUAUCUGGAACACAAGCAUUGCGUCCCAAGAUGAUUUGGUGCUAUCGAUAAGCGGCAUCGGGUUUUCCUGUGGAGCGUAAUGUUGUGUUUGAUCUCGCUUUUCCCGUUGGUGGCGGCGGUGACGUUCUUAUUAUGUCAGUGGCUUUCUCUGCUUUUGGACGUGUGCUGCUACGGAGUGUGUAGCAAAUUUUUGCCAGCCAAAUUGACCAAACCUUUUUUGCAUGUGCCGGCUGUGCCGCCGAAGCCCGAAAUUAAACCAGAUCAGAGAGGCCGGAGCACAUGAAGUGUUUGUGCUGGAUGUGUGGAAUAUUUUCGUGUAUAUUCGCGAUUGCAUUCGGGUACAUGAUGGUCAUCUGUAUGGUCUUUCCCAAUAUGCUUGUGGAGUUCUUCUUGCCCGAGAGGUACCAGUACCCGGGGACUUUAACUAUCCUAACGGGGUUAGCUACAUCGUUAUACACCGUGUUCGUGCAGUCCGCGGUUAUAAAAUGGUGCAGUGACCGGAAAACGCGCGAUCAGGCAUCAUGUCGCCAUGACGGUGCGGCAAUUCAACCGAGCCCGGAAGAUGCUGAACGAGCUUUGCUGCCUCCAGCCCAAAGUUAAAGCGACACAGGAGUCAGGACCAAUGUAAUUGGCAUUUCCAACGGUAUAUCUAUUUCAUAAUGUAUCCAGUUCAUAAGGCACGCGCGUGGUGAAUUUUCUUAUACUACGUAUUGUACAUAAGGACCACAAGGGCAACAUCAUUCGACAUUUCGAAGACGGAAUAGUCUUACUGCGCGUUUUUCUUAUUCUGCAUUUCAUAAUAAAUUCGAUGAAUUAAGAUGUUUAUCAAAUGGCACUGUAUUUACAGUUUACAUUGUUCAAAUUCCAAGUCCGAUACUUGUACAGUUGUACUUGAAGAACCACUUCAUUCGCCUUUAAGUCCGCUGGGCGGACGAUUACAUUUGCAAGCUCUACUGGGUGUGUAGAACGAAAGCUUCAGAUUUCGGACUGGAAACAAAUAUCCCAUUUAAAAUUUCAGAAGCAUGAUUUUGGUUUGUGUGUUUUUUUAUUUACACUUGAAUCGUAUUAUUGCAUCGACACAAUUUAAUGUUUUCAGAUUGCUUUGAUUUUGCAUGAACGGUGGAUUAUUUUUACUUCGAUGAUUAACUACGGUUUCAGUUUCUACUAAGUAACUAAAUUUGCAUCAGAUGUAUUUUUAAUAGAACUACGAUGUGAAAUUGUGCAUACAUCAUGAACGAGAUGAACAAUAAAUAUGCUAAUCUCCAACGGAAAAACAAACAGCAGUCCGCUUAAAAUCACUACAGCAAUCUGUCAAAACUGCAACACAUUAACUAUAAAAAUAACCUUGCAGCAAAUGAAAAUCAAAUCCCGAAACAAAGAGAAAAAGUAAAAACAACGAAUAAAAACCUUUUUCAGCAACAAAUAUAAACUGAACAAGAAACAUCCCCCAUAAAAACAAAAGAAGCAACGGAAAAUAACAGCAUUUCAUUUUGCAAAGCUGCGAGCAGACUCAAGCGCCACCGCGGAAUAAUACCCAACCACAGCGUCAGUCGCUUAAUUUUAGUCCGC